rnacentral:rRNA from 1 species
CGGGUGAGUAAUACAUCGGAACGUGUCUUCUAGUGGGGGAUAACUGCCCGAAAGGGCAGCUAAUACCGCAUGAGACCUGAGGGUGAAAGCGGGGGAUCGCAAGACCUCGCGCUGGAAGAGCGGCCGAUGUCCGAUUAGCUAGUUGGUGAGGUAAAGGCUCACCAAGGCGACGAUCGGUAGCCGGUCUGAGAGGACGACCAGCCACACUGGGACUGAGACACGGCCCAG